rnacentral:misc_RNA from 1 species
AGGCUAUUUUGUCAUAUUGGAAGAUGAAAUUGAUGGUGGUGGUAAUUCUCCACAUUGGCCCUGGCAGGACUUGAUUUUUCUGUUGUGGCCGUUUUGAGUAUUGCUCAAUCUGAAUGCUGAAGAAUUCGCGGAGGUAUACUGUUGUAUUCUAUUUUUUUAAAAAAUUUUAUGAUCAACCCGCAUUUUGCAUUAUCUUUUUGUAAAUAUAGCUCUUCCACG